rnacentral:misc_RNA from 1 species
CGCAUCUUGCGCUCCUUGGUAUUCCGAGGAGCAUGCCUGUUUGAGUGUCAUGAUACUCUCAACCCCCCCGGUUUUGUAAUGAGACCUUGGUCGGGCUUGGAUCCUGGAUGUUGCUGGCCUCAGGUCGGGCUCAUCUGAAAUGCAUUAGCAAUCACGCACUUGGUGUUGGUUUGACUUGACGUGGUAGUAAUUUUGCCGUCAAGGACAUCUCCUCAGAGGGGUGACCAGCCUUUGUGCCGGAAUGCUCACAGCUCCCCAUAUUCCAUCAUGAUUAGACCUCAAAUCAGGUAGGACUACCCGCUGAACUUAA